AUGGCUGCUGUCCCAUUCGAUGUCCGAGGCGGGACGGUUUGCAGGUUGCAGCGAUGGUGGGAGUUGGCUCCAUCCAAAGCCGUCUCCUUUGAGGGUGCCAGGACGGUCUGGAUGCCGGGCGGCGGCCCUGGCGGUGGGAGGUGCGUGGAUCUUGGGCAGAUUGCGCAGCUCGGGUGCGGGCGAGCAGACAUGGCCGCACGGGCGGCAUGGAUGUGGGUGGUUUGCGGAGCAUGGGAUGCCGAAGGGUUGGUGCACCGGGGUACAUCACUUGCCCAGUCCUUGUACUGGCCGACAGUGGUGGCGUCCGCGGACGUCGUUUCCUCCCUGCAGGCUCCGUCGCGAUGCUUCCUUUCCCUUCGGAUUACUCCGGGCACCGUUUUGGAGUCCUUGCUCCGUUGUCGGUCGUCUCACCUCUCCUUGGUGAUUGCUCAUGGUGAUCUCCGUCGGCUCAAGGCGAUGCCUCUUUGCUCAUCUUUAGUGUGCUCUGUAGUUCGUUGGAGUGGUGUGUCGGUGCCCGGCACCCUUGUAUCUUGCCCUGGGUGGGUGUUCUUGCCUUGGAAACAGCGAUCCCAGCAAAGAGAAAAAAGGGGCUUCAAUAAACUGCCCUUGGGGGUAUUCAAUCCCUGUUCUGCGGGGUGGAUGAGACGGGUCGCUACCACUGGGCUAGGGUCGCACCGGCGAGCGGCGGCGCGUCUAGCGAAGCAGAGGAACUCCGGCGGGCGCACGGGAUUGAGAGGGGAGCACAUGCAUGGUCGCGCGCGUGCAAUAGAGGACCGGGCGCUCGAGCACAAGCAUAGCUCUGCUCGGGGCCAUGGCGUUCGCGGCGAGCAGGGAAGCAAGCAAGGCGACGGGAGGCACAGCUGGGCGUGUGGAAAAGUGGUGUGGGUGCGCGUGUGCAGGCGAAGCUGCUGCGAGGGUGCAAGGGUGCGAGUGCGCGUGCGGCAGCUCGACUACGAGCUCAUGCUCGUCUCGGGUAUGGAGGCGGCAAGGCUGGGCGAGGCUGCUGCUCCUUGCGUUCGAGCGCGCGCGUUAAGGAUGGGACGUGAGGCAACUGCAUCUAGGCGGGAACCGGAGCGCGGGGAUGCACGGGCGCGCUGCAGCAAGUACACACAACAAAACUACAGAGUUCGCCGGAGCACCGGGAGCACAACAAAGACACGAAUCGAUCGAGUCUCACGGGGUCCUAUAUGCCAUGGAAAGAAAGGGAGAGGUAGGUGCUUUACCCAGCUCACCCUAGGACAUGAUGGGGUCGACGGAGACGAGUCGGAGACGAUGCGAGGGAGCUCUGAACUUGGUGGGGCUGCUGUCCGCGAAGCAGAGGAAGAAGACAGCCGAGGGAGUCGAUCUGGAGGCCUUGUGGUCGCGUGCGUCAUGGAAGGAGUCGGAGAGGUACUUGACGGUCCUCUCCACGGAAACAGGAGGGUCGGAGGCGCGACAUGGACGACUACCCCGAGCUCGAGCUCUUGCUCGCUCGGGUCAUGGUGGGUAGGGCGACGGCGAGGCGCGUGGAGACCUACCUGGCGGCGGCGAGGGCAAGGGAGGGACGGAAGUGGACGAGGGGAACUAGGGCUAGUGAUUGCGCCUUCGUCCGUCCGUGGUUUUCUCCCCCAAGGGUUUCCACAUAAAAAAUCCGUGUGCUCUCAUGUCUCAUUUAUUUCUCGUUAUUAUCUAACAAGUGGUAUACAGAGCCAAGUUGCAAAGAUACGAGAUUUGAGACGAGAGUUAGGGUUGCGGUCUAUCCGCCGCAGCCGUCUUCCGCGAUCCGUCGAAUCCGACACGGGAUUGUUUUCUGCUGCGCGUCGUCACAGAGAUCCGCUGUUCGAGUCUGACAGCUAUUUCGCCGAGACCUCCGCUGCUGUGCCGCCCUACAAAGUCGUGCGCUUGUCCGAUCUGCCGAGCCGUGCGUCUCAGCAGUUUAAUCGACUCAUGGCUUCCAUGAAGUACGAUCUUCCGCUGCUGGACCGUGACACAAGGUUUACCCUGUGGCAAGUCAAGAUGCGGGCGUUGUUGGCACAGUCCGACUAUGAUGAAGCACUGUGUAAUUUUGGGAAGAACAGAAUUCAGGACUGGACUAAUGUGGAGAAAAGAAUUGAUUGUAAGGCUUUGUCACAAAUUCAACUCCAUUUGCAUAAUAAUAUUUUGCAGGAAGUUUUGAGCGAGAAAACUGCCGCCGCUCUAUGGUUAAAGCUGGAAGGGAUUUGCAUGACUAAAGAUCUCACCAGCAAGAUGCAUCUGAAGCAAAACAUUAUUCCUGCACAGGUUACCCGAGGGAGAGACACCAUAUUAUACAGUCGUGAUGCUCUCACACUUAAUGAAGUUUUUGAAGCUUUGAACUCUAAGGAGAAGAUGAAAUUAAUGGUGCCUCAUGAUGGUUCAAGUUCAUCCCAAUCCGAGGGAUUAUCUGUUUGUGGCAGGACAAAGGAGAAGAACUCACAUAAUGGAAACAGAGGCAAAAGUAAGAACGGCUAUAGGGGCCAGUCGCAAUCCAGAGACAAGAAGUAUUCAGGUAUUGCAAGAGAGACGGACAUGACAUCUCAGAGUGUUUCAAGUUGCAAAACAAGGAAAAGAGAAAAGGUAACAAACAAGGUGACAAUUCUGCUAACGUUGCUCGUGAUGAUAGUUUCGAUGAUGCUCUUGUCAUUAUCGCUAGAUGUGCUGAGACCAAUGAUGAGUGGAACUUUGGCAGAUGUUCGGUAUAUUCCGAAGAUGAAGAGAAAUCUUAUUUCUAUGAGUGCCCUUGAUGCAAAGGGGUACAAAUAUUCAGGUGGAGAUAGUGUUUUGAAGGUCACCAAAGGUUCCCUUGUUGUGAUGAAAGGUAACGCUACUCCAGUUAUUUCAAAGAAUUUUGAUUGUGAUGCUGCUAACCUUUGGCAUAUGCGUCUUGGACAUAUGAGUGAACUUGGUUUAGCAGAGUUAAAUAAGAGAGGUCUUCUUGAUGGAUAUGAACCCGGUAAAUUGAAAUUUUGUGAGCAUUGUAUCUUCGGCAAACACAAGAGGGUGAAGUUCAACACUUCGGUUCAUACAACUGAAGGUAUUCUUGAUUAUGUUCAUGCUGAUUUAUGGGGACCAUCUCGCAAGAAGUCACUAGGUGGUGCUAGUUACAUGCUGACUAUUAUUGAUGAUUAUUCGAGAAAAGUUUGGCCUUAUUCCUUGAAGCAUAAAUAUGAAGCAUUAUCAGUUUUUAAGGAGUGGAAGAUUAUGAUUGAAAGGCAGACUGAAAAGAAGUUGAGAGUUUUUGGUUGCACUGCUUAUGCUCAUGUUGAUAAUGGAAAGUUGGAGCCUAGAGCUGUUAAGUGCAUCUUUCUUGGUUAUAAAUCUGGUGUUGAAGGUUUUAAAUUGUGGAAUCCUGAAACCCAGAAGGUUGUUAUUAGCAGAAAUGUUAUCUUUAAUGAAUCUGCUAUGUUACAUGAUGUUUCAUCUACUAAUGUUCCUAUUGAGAGUGAACAUCAGCCUAUUGUUCAAGAGCCUACUGUUCAGGUGGAGCAUGUUAUUGACUACGGUGAUACAUCUGGUAAUGAAAUGUUGAUGCACAUGAUGAACCCGUCGUUAAUGAUGAUCAUGUCACUCCCCCUCCAGUUCAGCUUAUUGUUCCACCCAGUUGGAAUCUCGCACGUGACAGAGUUAGGCGGGAAGAAAUUGAAGCGAUCCGAGAGUAGAGGCAGACCCGUCGUCCCGAACGAUUCCCCACCCCGAUGCGCCUCCCUCUCCUCCCAGCGCGCCGCCGCCGCGGCCUCCCCGUCCCCCAGCGCGCGCUGCCGCGGCCACCCUCUCUCCCAGCUCGCCGCCGCCGCGGCCUCCCCGUCCCCCAGCGCGCGCUGCCGCGGCAACCCUCUCUCCCAGCUCGCCGCCGCCGCGGCCUCCCCCUCCCCCAGCGCGCGCCGCCGCGGCCACCCCUCCCCCAGCUCGCCGCCGCCGCGGCCACCCCUCCCCCAGCUCGCCGCCGCCGCGACCAGCCCCUCCACCGCAUCAGCUCCCAGGACGUUCAGAGCCGCCAACCAGUCCGUUCACCACCGCGAACAGAGCCCGUUCAACGACGCAGCGGUUCGAUGUGUGACACGCUGCCCUGCCCUGACGUGCAGCCGACGCGCACCAUCCCAUCGUCGGCGCGACCUCUGCCACGUCGGGUCGCAGCCCCAGCCACCCAGCGCGCCGCUCGCGCAGAUCGCCUGCGUGCUGGUGGCGAGCGUCUCCUUGUCUCGUACUCCUGCUGAACUCGGGCUCCUCUGCCCAGGCCCUUGUCUUCGCAGCACUUGCGCGGUCAUCCGGCAGCGGCGGCGCCAAUGGAUCCAACGAUGUUAG
rnacentral:rRNA from 1 species